GUAUUCAUCCCAGCAACACAUAUACUUAAACAAUAAUGAUACAAAGAAGAUUAGCAUGGCCCUGUGAAAGGACAACCUGCAAACUCAUAAGGCUUUGAAAUAUUUC